UGGAUAUUAGUUAAUUAAUAACAUUUAAAUUGCAUUUAAAAAUUAAUUUUUAUUAAAAUUAUUAUAUCUAU
rnacentral:tRNA from 1 species